GAUGAACGCUGGCGGCGUGCCUAAUACAUGCAAGUCGAGCGAACGGACGAGAAGCUUGCUUUUCUGAUGUUAGCGGCGGACGGGUGAGUAACACGUGGAUAACCUACCUAUAAGACUGGGAUAACUUCGGGAAACCGGAGCUAAUACCGGAUAAUAUUUUGAACCGCAUGGUUCAAAAGUGAAAGACGGUCUUGCUGUCACUUAUAGAUGGAUCCGCGCUGCAUUAGCUAGUUGGUAAGGUAACGGCUUACCAAGGCAACGAUGCAUAGCCGACCUGAGCGGGAGAUCGGCCAGACUGGAACUGAGACACGGUCGAGACUCCGACGGGAGGCAGCGGUAGGGAAUCUUCCGCGAGGGGCGAAAGCCUGACGGAGCAACGCCGCGUGAGUGAUGAAGGUCUUCGGAUCGUAAAACUCUGUUAUUAGGGAAGAAGAUAUGUGUAAGUAACUGUGCACAUCUUGACGGUACCUAAACAGAAAGCCACGGCUAACUACGUG
rnacentral:rRNA from 1 species